rnacentral:rRNA from 1 species
CCUACGGGGGGCUGCAGUGAGGAAUAUUGGUCAAUGGGCUUACGCCUGAACCAGCCAAGUCGCGUGAGGGAAGACUGCCCUAUGGGUUGUAAACCUCUUUUGUCAGGGAGCAAUUGGCGCUACGUGUAGCGUUAUCGAGAGUACCUGCAGACAAAGCAUCGGCUAACUCCGUGCCAGCAGCCGCGGUAAUACGGAGGAUGCGAGCGUUCUCCGGAUUGAUUGGGUUUAAAGGGUGCGUAGGCGGAAUGCCAAGUCAGCGGUAAAAUCGCGGGGCUCAACCUCGCUCCGCCGUUGAUACUGGCGUUCUUGAGUGGGCGAGAGGGAGGCGGAAUGCGAGGUGUAGCGGUGAAAUGCAUAGAGAUCACGCAGAACUCCGAUUGCGAAGGCAGCAUACCGGAGCCCAACUGACGCUGAAGCACGAAAGCGUGGGUAGCGAACAGGAUUAGAUACCCUGGUAGUC